AGAGUUUGAUCCUGGCUCAGAUUGAACGCUGGCGGCAUGCUUUACACAUGCAAGUCGAACGGCAGCAUGGGUGCUUGCACCUGAUGGCGAGUGGCGAACGGGUGAGUAAUGUAUCGGAACAUAUCCGCAAGUGGGGGAUAACGUAGCGAAAGUUACGCUAAUACCGCAUAUUCCCUGAGGGGGAAAGGAGGGGAUCCGCAAGGACCUUUCGCUUACGGAGUGGCCGAUAUCAGAUUAGCUAGUUGGUGAGGUAAAGGCUCACCAAGGCGACGAUCUGUAGCGGGUCUGAGAGGAUGAUCCGCCACACUGGGACUGAGACACGGCCCAGACUCCUACGGGAGGCAGCAGUGGGGAAUUUUGGACAAUGGGCGCAAGCCUGAUCCAGCCAUGCCGCGUGAGUGAAGAAGGCCUUCGGGUUGUAAAGCUCUUUCAGCUGGAAAAAAAUCGUACUUAUUAAUACUGAGUAUGGAUGAUGGUACCAGCAGAAGAAGCACCGGCUAACUACGUGCCAGCAGCCGCGGUAAUACGUAGGGUGCGAGCGUUAAUCGGAAUUACUGGGCGUAAAGCGUGCGCAGGCGGUUUUGUAAGACAGACGUGAAAUCCCCGGGCUUAACCUGGGAACUGCGUUUGUGACUGCAAGGCUAGAGUAUGGCAGAGGGGGGUAGAAUUCCACGUGUAGCAGUGAAAUGCGUAGAUAUGUGGAGGAAUACCGAUGGCGAAGGCAGCCCCCUGGGUCAAUACUGACGCUCAUGCACGAAAGCGUGGGUAGCAAACAGGAUUAGAUACCCUGGUAGUCC
rnacentral:rRNA from 1 species